GCGAGAGUGGCGGAAUUGGCAGACGCGCCAGAUUUAGGAUCUGGUUCCCUACCGGGAAUGGGGGUUCGAGUCCCCCCUCUCGCAC
rnacentral:tRNA from 1 species